rnacentral:rRNA from 1 species
GUAGGUGACCUGCGGAAGGAUCAUUG